AUUGAACGCUGGCGGCAUGCCUUACACAUGCAAGUCGAACGGCAGCACGGGUGCUUGCACCUGGUGGCGAGUGGCGAACGGGUGAGUAAUAUAUCGGAACGUGCCCUCGAGUGGGGAAUAACUAGUCGAAAGAUUAGCUAAUACCGCAUACGAUCUACGGAUGAAAGUGGGGGAUCGCAAGACCGCAUGAUCUUGGAGUGGCCGAUAUCUGAUUAGGUAGUUGGUGGGGUAAAAGCUCACCAAGGAGACGAUCAGUAGCUGGUCUGAGAGGACGACCAGCCAAACUGGAACGGGGACACGGUCCAGACGCCUACGGGAGGCAGCAGUGGGGAAUUUUGGACAAUGGGGGCAACCCUGAUCCAGCAAUGCCGCGUGAGUGAAGAAGGCCUUCGGGUUGUAAAGCUCUUUUGUCAGGGAAGAAACGGUGAGAGCUAAUAUCUCUUGCUAAUGACGGUACCUGAAGAAUAAGCACCGGCUAACUACGUGCCAGCCGCCGCCGUAA
rnacentral:rRNA from 1 species